rnacentral:lncRNA from 1 species
GCGGCAGGUUGCCAAAUAAUUGUGGAGUACUGGGCGUACUUUUGAUCGCCUGGUUUGGAGCUAUUUUGGGCUUAUGGGCCUUCGCCCUCUACACAACCUUCCAGCCCAUUUAUUUUGGGCUUUGCCAUUUUUUUUUUUUUACCCUCUGAUGGGUUUUAUACAGAUGUCUCCGAAAGAUAGGAAAAAUGAAUUACAUCAUACAAAAAUAAAGGUUUCGACAGUUGCCAUCCUCAUCAUGGUUGUGGACUACACCACCCCACUAUGCAUCCCAUUAAUAUUAUUUGCCUUUGCUUUUGUUUACUUUCUCUUUUCUUUUUCUUUUUUCUUUUCACUUUUGCUUUGCACUUCUGUCUAUGCUUUUCUCUAGACAUCAUUCUACUUUUUCUAACAGUUAUGGCUGGUCUUGGUUUGAAGCUAUGAUCAAUGGUGAUGCAUACAAAAAUGUAGAAGAAAAACAAAGCGAGGAAUGUAUACAUAGAAUUACUGGGACACUAGAGUUGAGCAGCGCCAGAGGGCUGGCUUACCACUUUUAUCCGCCCGAGGUGUGUUUGCAAGCAUUUCAGGAGAGUCAACAAGGGCAGUCAAGCGGUGAAUUAAUGUUGUGGACAGAGUGCAGCAUGAUUCUAUGCAAGUUAACAGUUUUGAGAUACCUGAUGUCGUAGUUGACAGUUCAAAAGGAGACGGUUGUGUCUUACCUUAUGUUUCUGACCUCCCUGAUAUUUCUCCUCGUGGCAUGCUGAUGAAAGGCCUUGGUUUUGCUCCAUAUGUGGUUUUAUGCCACCAACAAUGUAUCGCCAAAAGUGUCUUCAAGAAUCAACGACUUUAUUCUCUACUUCUGGUGGUAGUUUCAAGAUGCAAAUCUCAGCGUCGUCCAUGUCGGACUGUUAACGCCGGGAGUUAGAGCACCGACUACCAUGGUG